ACAGCCUGGAACAUCAGCAUGGAGAGAUCACAGCCUGGAACAUCAAUGCAGCCAGGACUGAACAUUGGAAGGAGAGGAGAAGGUUGGGAAGGAGCAAGGGGAGCACCCCCAACAAAUCCCCCUGGCUCUGGUCCUUGUGUGGGACUGGGCUGCAUCUGUCACAUCUGAUUAGAUUGUGUUGUCCUUUUUUAUCUCCCUGAUCUAUGCUAUGAUUCUUCUGGUUUUAUGUGACAUUUCCUUGGCAGUAGAACUGCUUGGAUUAGAUAUUCAGAGUGUUUCCCUCACCAUAAAACAUGCAAAUUGCAAAGGGUAUUUAUUUGCACAGUUAUGUUUUGCUUUGUCUUUUUGUUCAUUUUUAAUGUUGCUAUUUUAUGAUAUUUUUUUGUGUGUGUGUGCUGGUGCUGCUUGUAAAGAGGAUCCACGUGGCUUUUUGCAUUAAAAAAUAUCAGUGAGUUACA